rnacentral:rRNA from 1 species
ACCUCCUAUCGCAUGGUGGGUGGUGGAAAGAUUUAUCGGUGCAGGAUGGGCCCGCGGCCUAUCAGCUUGUUGGUGGGGUAAUGGCCUACCAAGGCGACGACGGGUAGCCGACCUGAGAGGGUGACCGGCCACACUGGGACUGAGACACGGCCCAGACUCCUACGGGAGGCAGCAGUGGGGAAUAUUGCACAAUGGGCGAAAGCCUGAUGCAGCGACGCCGCGUGAGGGAUGACGGCCUUCGGGUUGUAAACCUCUUUCAGCAGGGACGAAGCGCAAGUGACGGUACCUGCAGAAGAAGCACCGGCUAACUACGUGCCAGCAGCCGCGGUAAUACGUAGGGUGCAAGCGUUGUCCGGAAUUACUGGGCGUAAAGAGUUCGUAGGCGGUUUGUCGCGUCGUUUGUGAAAACCAGCAGCUCAACUGCUGGCUUGCAGGCGAUACGGGCAGACUUGAGUACUGCAGGGGAGACUGGAAUUCCUGGUGUAGCGGUGAAAUGCGCAGAUAUCAGGAGGAACACCGGUGGCGAAGGCGGGUCUCUGGGCAGUAACUGACGCUGAGGAACGAAAGCGUGGGUAGCGAACAGGAUUAGAUACCCUGGUAGUCCACGCCGUAAACGGUGGGCGCUAGGUGUGGG